rnacentral:rRNA from 1 species
AGCAGCCGCGGUAAUUCCAGCUCCAAUAGCGUAUAUUAAAGUUGUUGCAGUUAAAAAGCUCGUAGUUGAAUUUCGGGAUUGACGUGAUGGUCGUGCCUUACGGGGUAUGAACUGUUGCAGUCAAUUUCUCACCUUCUGGAGAAAUAUGAUGUCCUUAAUUGGGUGUCAUAUGGAACCAGAACUUUUACCUUGAAAAAAUUAGAGUGUUUAAAGCAGGCUUAUUGCUCGAAUACAUUAGCAUGGAAUAAUAAAAUAGGACGGCAUGGUUCUAUUUUGUUGGUUUCUAGGAUCACCGUAAUGAUUAAUAGGGAUAGUUGGGGGCAUUAGUAUUCAAUUGUCAGAGGUGAAAUUCUUGGAUUUAUUGAAGACUAACUACUGCGAAAGCAUUUGCCAAGGAUGUUUUCAUUAAUCAAGAACGAAAGUUAGGGGAUCGAAGACGAUCAGAUACCGCCGUAGUCUUAACCAUAAACUAUGCCGACUAGGAAUCAGACGAUGUUAAUUUUUAAUGACUCGUUUGG